GGCACGGUAGCAAAGUCUGGUCAAAUGCGCUGGACUUAAGAUCCAGUCUCUUAGUGGGUUCGCAGGUUCAAAUCCUGCCCGUGCCA
rnacentral:tRNA from 1 species